GCAUGUCAAACGCAGCUAUUUUGCUUCGUCGCAUGUCUGGUGACGUUGUAUUCUUGACUAGAGAACUUGCAGAUGCAGCUGAGGCCUUUGUACUUAAGUUUUUAAUAAUCUGAAGUCCGUCUGUAUCUAUACGUAACAGUUUGCCCUAAGACUGGUGCUCACUGAAUUGGAGCCUUAUGCUUCUUUGGUGUUGGACGGACGGCAGGAGCGAAACGUAGCCGGAUGAACGCUAGCUAGCAAGCUUGCUAACUUGCUUGCUACCGAGAAGCGUACAAGUCCCGAAGAAAAGGAAGCACGCAAAAGGCGCUGACAAGAGAGACACAAAAGAAAAAAGAAUGACUUCCCGGAGGUGGUUCCACCCAAACAUCACUGGUGUGGAAGCAGAAAACCUCCUGCUGACCCGUGGGGUGGACGGUAGCUUCCUCGCCAGGCCAAGCAAGAGCAACCCAGGGGAUUUCACCUUAUCUGUCAGACGGAAUGGAGCAGUCACCCAUAUCAAGAUCCAGAACACUGGGGACUACUACGACCUCUACGGGGGGGAGAAGUUUGCCACGUUGGCUGAGCUCGUUCAGUACUACAUGGAGCACCAUGGCCAACUGAAGGAGAAGAACGGUGAUGUCAUUGAACUGAAGUACCCACUCAACUGCGCCGAUCCCACAUCUGAGAGGUGGUUCCACGGGCACUUGUCAGGGCGUGAGGCGGAGAAGCUGCUGACCGAAAAGGGAAAGAAUGGCAGCUUCCUGGUGCGGGAGAGCCAGAGCCAUCCAGGUGACUUCGUCCUCUCCGUACGCACCGGCGACGACAAGACAGACUGCAGUGACGGCAAGCCCAAGGUCACCCAUGUCAUGAUUCGCUGCCAGCCCGACCUGAAGUAUGAUGUUGGCGGGGGGGAGAAAUUUGACUCUCUCACGGACCUUGUGGAGCAUUACAAGAAGAACCCCAUGGUGGAGACUUUGGGCACCGUGCUCCAGCUGAAGCAGCCCCUGAACACGACACGCAUCAACGCUGCGGAGAUCGAGAGCCGAGUGCGGGAACUGAGCAAGCUGGCCGAGACCACCGACAAAGUCAAGCAGGGCUUCUGGGAGGAGUUUGAGACCCUCCAACAGCAAGAGUGUAAGCUGCUGUACAGUCGCAAGGAGGGCCAGCGGCCAGAGAACAAGAACAAGAACCGGUACAAGAACAUCUUGCCGUUUGAUCACACCCGUGUAGUCCUUCUUGAUGGAGAUCCGAAUGAACCUGGCUCUGACUACAUCAAUGCCAACAUCAUCAUGCCUGAGGUGGACUCCAAGUGCAACAAUGUGAAGAUGAAGAAGAGCUACAUCGCCACUCAGGGCUGCCUGCAGAACACCAUUAGUGACUUCUGGAGGAUGGUCUAUCAGGAGAACUCCCACGUCAUCGUUAUGACCACUAAGGAGGUGGAACGGGGCAAGAGUAAGUGUGUGAAGUACUGGCCCGAUGUAUCGGCGCUUAAGGAGUACGGAGCCAUGCGGGUCCGCAGUGUCAAGGAGACCUCUGCCCACGACUACAUCCUACGGGAGCUGAAGCUCUCCAAAGUUGGACAGGGCAACACUGAACGCACAGUCUGGCAGUACCAUUUCCGGGCCUGGCCGGACCACGGCGUGCCCACAGACCCCGGUGGUGUGCUAGACUUCCUGGAGGAGGUGAACAUGAGGCAAGACAGCAUUCUGGAGGUGGGGCCCAUCGUGGUGCACUGCAGUGCUGGGAUUGGACGAACCGGAACGUUCAUUGUGAUUGACAUCCUCAUUGAUGUAAUCAGAGAAAAGGGGGUGGAUUGCGACAUCGACGUGCCCAAGAGCAUCCAGAUGGUGCGCUCACAGCGCUCCGGGAUGGUGCAGACGGAGGCUCAGUACCGCUUCAUCUAUAUGGCCGUGCAGCACUACAUCGAGACACUGCAGCGCCGCAUCGAGGUGGAACAGGUCCCCCCCACCUUCAUCGUAUUCUUCUUCAUCCUCUAUUUGCCUGCUGAUGCAGCGUCUCAGGCUCUACAGCCCAAACAUCCAUCCAUCUUCCUACUGAAUAUCCUGGUCAGGAUCUCAGGGCUCCUGUCGCAGGCAGCACAGGGCACCAGCCAGGGUUACCUCAGGGCGGCAUGUCUGUCCAUCCUGCACUGGAUAAAAAAGCAAAAUCAAAGGCAGAGAGUACACCAACAUCAAAUAUUCCCUGUCGGACCUGACUGGUGGAGACCAAAGCCCCUUGCCUCCAUGUACCCCCACGCCCACCUGUGUCGACCUGAGUGACGACUGCUCCCGCGUGUACGAGAAUGUGGGCCUGGCCCAGCCCCAGAAGAGCCACAGAUGAGACAACAGUGAGUGCGAUGGUUUCGUGGUGAACCCUGCAGCUUCUGUUAAGAUUCACGUUGGUAAGAGGAUCAGUGGUCUUUGGACUUGGACAUCAGCCCCAGGUUGCCGGUUUUCAGACAGCUGAAACACUCUUCCUCCCGCUACUGCUUCUGCAUUAUUUAUCUCUUUUAUCUUUUUCUGUCGCCACUCCAGGGAAGAUGCACUGCGAUGUUUUAUUUUUAUUGCCUGCAGUGCAAACUCUCUGCUGCCCACACACUUCCCUGGUUUUGGCCUAUUCCUCAAGUUUGCUCUUUAAACAAAAAAAAACAAAGGGAACUUUACAAGAAUGAAGGCUUUUGUUUACCUCCCUCCAGUGCUGGGAGAUUUUUCAUUUAUGGUUUAAUGCUGUUCCUGAUAUCUUCAUUUUAAUGCGCCUUACUUGCCGAUCUUGUGUCUCUGAAUGACACCCAUCAUGAUGAACCUGCUGCUUUCAGGAGUUCGGAUGUGAGACUGUUGGGUCUCUGGAAGGAAUCAGCUGUUGUACCCUUAAGCCGGCAACUGAAUCCAGAAUACUUCAAAGAGUAUCCCAGCAGUUGGAGUGUGAAGUUCUGCCAGCCUCUUGUCGCCGUGGAUGCAAAUGUCCGCUAUGCUGCUUCAUAGCAAACUUAUUUCCCCCCAGGAUCGAUGUUGAUCUCUCCUGGAUCUCGUUUAAGGUUACUGAGAAGGGCUUUCCAUUGGAAGCCAGCUCAGAGGUGUGACUGGCCAAGCAGUGUGAUUUCUAAAUUUUUAUAAAUGUAUUUUUCCCCUUUGUGUAACUGCCUACCACAUGCUUAGAAGCACCGUGCUAACCUACCCUUAGAAGCUAAGAAGAGAAUGUCUUUGAGAGCCAUAAUACAGUAGGAGAGUGAAGGAAAAGGCUGUUAAUGCAGGCAUGUGCUGAGGAUACGUCUGUAGCAAUCCUGUUCCUAAGGCUCUGGCUCUGCUUUUCAGGCCUUCAUUACACCAGGUCUCAGCCCCCUACCCCACCAAAGGAACAGCUCAGGAUUUUAACCAUUGGCUCUUUGUGUCGUAUGUCUCUCCGUUUUACAUUCUGAAGGAAAUGUGUCAAAUUGCUGCAGUAUUUUAAGGAAAUGCUUUCUCGUUCGGUCAGUUCUCUUGCAGUGACGUGUCUGUCGUGAUGGCACUCAGCCUGGCGCUGACUUACUCGGCUAGUUUCCGCUCGUUUGGUCAGCCGUGUUCAAUGUGAAGGUUUGUCCGAGUGAAUGGAUCCAAAAGUGCCACUCGCUGGGAAAAUUGGGCUGCCAUUUUACCGAUUGUUGACAAGCGUGUGGCCGGCGAUGGACCACGGCACAUGCCACAAAGCAGUCUUCGUCGCUUGGGAUGUGUGAACACUUAGCGGCACUUCCAUCCUAUUUGCCUAGAUUACGACAGGAGUGAUUCAUCAAGCCAACUUCUGUUUGUCUUAAGUAGUACUUUUUCAUCUGUGUCAUUUUGUCUUAAUUCCUCAUCCUCAGUUGCUGGUUUGUGUCUUGUAGGUUAUCUUGCCCUGUUAAUGUGUAUCUAUGGUAUGUGUGUAUAUUUGUUUUGUGUUAUUAUUGUUAUGUAUUGCUGUUUUUCCAGAAGCGCAGUACUGACUUAUCUAGAUAGCGUUAAGUGUAACGUGGUUCAUUGAAAAUGAGCCCUUUUUGUGUUUUAUAAAUUAUGAAACUAUGUCAAUUAACUUUAUGGUUAAUUGGUUAAAUGUCAGUUAAAAACUCUCUGUGAUCAGUUCUCUGGUCAUUUCCUACCAUGAAGUAAGGCAUUUGUUAGACCCUAUGCCUUUUAUUGCCAAAACCUGGUAAUCAUGACUUCUGUUUCUUCUUGACAAUAAAAUUUGAAGCUUCCA